rnacentral:rRNA from 1 species
AUUGAACGCUGGCGGCAGGCCUAACACAUGCAAGUCGAACGAGUGGGGGACGGUUGAGUAAUUUCUGGGAAACUGCCUGAUGGGGGGGGAUACCUACUGAAAACGGUAGCUAAUCCCGCAUACCAUCAAAUUUUCCCAGAGGGGUUUGGCUGGUUGGUGGGGUAACGGCUCACCAAGGCUACGAUCCCUAGCUGGUCUGAGAGGAUGACCAGCCACACUGGAACUGAGACACGGUCCAGACUCCUACGGGAGGCAGCAGUGGGGAAUAUUGCACAAUGGGCGCAAGCCUGAUGCAGCCAUGCCGCGUGUAUGAAGAAGGCCUUCGGGUUGUAAAGUACUUUCAGCGGGGAGGCGUUACCCGCAGAAGAAGCACCGGCUAACUCCGUGCCAGCAGCCGCGGUAAUAC